AGAGGAUGAUGGAGGGAUCAAGGAUGAUUUGGGAUUUGAAUCAGACAUUGAUACUUUUUUUCCUUGACCAGAGACGUAGUGCUAGGUGUCUGGGAUUGAUGAGAUUGUCUAGUACUUGCAAUAAAAAUUGGAAUUUGGGUCUUUAGGAUUUUCAAGGUCUACCAGGAAAAUGGCUUCACAAAAGAUCUGUACUGAAUCAAAUAAUACAACAGAUUACAAGAACCUUAACAUCCCUUGAAUGAGAAAUCUGAGCAGAAAUGACCAAUCUUCAUGUCUGAGAAAAGAAAGAAG
rnacentral:misc_RNA from 1 species